AUAAAUUCGAUAAAGUCAUUCUGACCUUUUUGUGGCCAUCAAAGCUCUGAUAACUGCACUAAACAAUUGGAUUAGGGCUACCAACUGUUUCAUUUAAGCUACCGUUGGAUAAACAGAUAAAUUGUUAUGCAGAAAACAAAUAUGAUAUGCGAACAUUUUAUCUGGAAUGAAAGAGACCACCUUAAACAUCUUAAAGCACAAGAGUUGCAAAAACGAGAUACCCAACACUUUUUAGAGUGUCCAAGUACAAAAGUGGGAAGCUAAACUUUUUGAAGCGCUUAUGGACAUUCUCCACGUCCCUCCUAAGGAACUGUAUUUUUGAUUGUGGAUUUGCUCCAGAGGGAUCUGAUUUUAAGUUGAAGAAACACUGAUGAAAGCAGUCGAGCUGUAAGUUUGUCAAGCCCUACAUCUUCCAAGCUGUAGCAUUCCCCUGUCCAAUGACUCUGUUGGCUAUAGUAGCACUUUCUGCAAGGGUAUUGCUGAUAAGUCUCAAGCUAAAAGGUAAAUGUUUCACGAUAAAUCCAAGAGUCCAAACAAAACAUGCUACAAAUUUCCAGCUAAGUUAUAAGGUGCCUAACAGGAUUAGUUUUCAAAUAUCAAAAGAAUUAAUUUUCUCUAAUAAUGUGCAUGGCCCAAGGAUCCCUUCGAUUUUUUAAUGCC
rnacentral:lncRNA from 1 species